UACGAAGGGGACUAGCGUUGUUCGGAAUCACUGGGCGUAAAGCGCACGUAGGCGGAUUCGUAAGUCAGGGGUGAAAUCCCGGGGCUCAACCUCGGAACUGCCUUUGAUACUGCGGGUCUCGAGUCCGAUAGAGGUGGGUGGAAUUCCUAGUGUAGAGGUGAAAUUCGUAGAUAUUAGGAAGAACACCGGUGGCGAAGGCGGCCCACUGGAUCGGUACUGACGCUGAGGUGCGAAAGCGUGGGGAGCAAACAGG
rnacentral:rRNA from 1 species